AUAUGGCUCAGGAUGAACGCUAGCUACAGGCUUAACACAUGCAAGUCGAGGGGCAGCAUGACAAUUGCUGCAAUUGUGAUGGCGACCGGCGCACGGGUGAGUAACGCGUAUCCAACCUUCCCUAUAGUAGAGAAUAGCCCGGCGAAAGUCGGAUUAAUGCUCUAUGUCUCUUUGAUGGCAUCUGAUGAGAAGCAAAGGUUCACCGCUAUAGGAUGGGGAUGCGUCUGAUUAGCUUGUUGGCGGGGUAACGGCCCACCAAGGCAACGAUCAGUAGGGGUUCUGAGAGGAAGGUCCCCCACAUUGGUACUGAGACACGGACCAAACUCCUACGGGAGGCAGCAGUGAGGAAUAUUGGUCAAUGGGCGAGAGCCUGAACCAGCCAAGUUAAGUGUGCAGGAUGACUGCCCUAUGGGUUGUAAACUGCUUUUAUAGGGGAAUAAAGUGAGGUACGUGUACCUUUUUGUAUGUACCCUAUGAAUAAGGACCGGCUAAUUCCGUGCCAGCCGCCGC
rnacentral:rRNA from 1 species